rnacentral:tRNA from 1 species
GCCGGAGUAGCUCAGUGGUAGAGCAAAGGACUGAAAAUCCUUGUGUCGGCAGUUCGAUCCUGCCCUUCGGCACCA